rnacentral:lncRNA from 1 species
GCAUCUAUUUUGCAACAUUUCUGUUGGUUUAUAAUAUAUGCCAUGAAAAUGGUGAAAUUAGUUAAAUGAAAAUGAACACUAGAAGAUAAAUUUAUCACAGACAUUGCAGAGAUUAUAUUCAGCCUAUAUUCUGGACUAAAUCUUUUUCUGGUCAAUACCUUUAAUACUCUACCCUUGCAGAGAUUUUAAUAGGGAAUGUUAUCUUUUUUAAUAUCCAGCAAAUCAUCUUUUACUGAUGAAUGUCUCCAAAAAUCUGUUUCUUUUUGUUUAUUUUUGCUUGAAGGAUCCAGGUUUUAAGCUGCCAAACUAAAGAUUGAGAAACCUGGAAUAACUCCUAUGCUCUUUAUAGCCCAGUUACAUAGUCUGGAGAGAAUACCUCCUUCCCUACAGACAUGAGCAGAUACAACGGUGCCCUUCCUCUUCAAAGGUCCUCCUGGCGUUAUGGAAAUGUUCUGUUUUCUGUUGCCCUCGGUGAAACAGAUCUGGAUACUGUGCAUCCCUUCUGUUAUCAACAAGCCUUUUGGAGAAAUUUUUGUUCUUCAUGACCUCCCCGUGCUUUCCCUGGAUGCCUCUGCUUGUAAAGAAAGAGGUAGGAUUGACUUUUGAUUGAUUAGCUGAGUCCCUGAUGAGAAUGGAAAUACUUCCCCUAUUGUGGGUGGAGAAGGAUUGGUUUCAGUGGCUUGACCUGCCCUGACAACUCUCUAUAUUUAGUAUGUUGUCUGAAACAUUUAUUUGGAGAUGUCAGCCAUUUAUCUCAAUCAGUUUAAAUUUUUAAUAGCAGACAACUGGAAAACAACUUUCUGGUAGAACUGUUCUACCUUUACAUAACAAGAAACUAAAUGUUUAACAUUCAUAUGAAGAAAUCUGAAGCAGAAUGUAUGAUAUAUUUUAGUAUUUUACUAACA